AGUAGUUUGAUCAUGGCUCAAGAAUCAACGCUGGCGGCGUGCCUCAGACAUGCAAGUCGAACGAUUAAACUUCCUUUCGGGGAAGAUAUAAAGGUGGCGUACGGGUGAGUAACACGUAGGUAAUGUACCUUUGGGUGGGGAAUAACUUAGGGAAACUUAAGCUAAUACCGCAUAAUGCAGCGGCUCGAUAUCGAGACAGUUGUUAAAGGAGUAAUCCGCCUAAAGAGCAGCCUGCGGCAGAUUAGCUAGUUGGUAAGGUAAUGGCUUACCAAGGCUACGAUCUGUAACCGACCUGAGAGGGUGGUCGGUCACACUGACACUGAAUAACGGGUCAGACUCCUACGGGAGGCAGCAGUCGGGAAUUUUGGGCAAUGGGCGAAAGCCUGACCCAGCAACGCCGCGUGAAGGAUGAAGUCUCUCGGGAUGUAAACUUCGUAAGAAUAGGAAGAAUAAAUGACGGUACUAUUUGUAAGGUCCGGCUAACUACGUG
rnacentral:rRNA from 1 species